UGGGGAGUCGACAAGUGGUAAGUCACCAGGCUUUGAACCUGGGAUCCUUGGUUCGAAUCCAAGCUCCCCAG
rnacentral:tRNA from 1 species